AUGCAAAGAACUUUGAAAAGAGAGUUAAAGAGUACCUGAAAUUGCUGAAAUGGAAGCGAAGGAAACCAGUGCCACAGGCAGGUCAUAUUUCCUCCGCCGCUUGCGGUGGGGGCGCUGUGUCUUGUCGCCGGCCAGCAUGGGUUCUCUUCGGGGCAAGUGGCCGUUCGGGAGGUAGCCCCCUCGUGGGGUGUUCUAACCGGGCGGUUCUGUCCUGGGGGGGAUCGAGGAUAGUCGCGCAAGCGCUCGUGAUGCUGGCAAAAUGGUUUUCUUUACCCCGUCUUGAAACACGGACCAAGGAGUUUAACAUGUAUGCGAGUAAAAGGGUGGCAAACCCCAAUGCGAAAUGAAAGUAUCAGAGACGCUAACCUUCGGGUGCACCGUCCGCCGGCCACAACCCUUCGGGGGAAAGGUCUGAGUGUGAGCAUACAUGUUGAGACCCGAAAGAUGGUGAGCUAUGCCUGAGUAGGGUGAAGCCAGGGGAAACUCUGGUGGAAGCUCGUAGCGAUUCUGACGUGCAAAUCGAUCGUCAAACUUGGGUAUAGGGGCGAAAGACUAAUCGAACCAUCUAGUAGCUGGUUCCCUCCGAAAUUUCCCUCAGGAUAGCUGCGACCGAGGAUAAUUUUAUCA
rnacentral:rRNA from 1 species